GUGAAUAGGUGUCACAAAAACCGCAACUUCUCCACAAAAACCUACUCCUUAUUUUCUGUUUUGACCAACCUUAACCUUAACCUUAACCUUCACAUUAACCUCUCUCUCUUCUCUCAUCUCACUCUCUUCAACUUUCUCUCUCUUCAAUUUUCUCUCUCCUCCACAAUCUCCCUAUUCUGGUCUCUCUUUCACUCUCUCUCCCAUUCUUCUCUUCUUCUCCCUCCCCCUUCUUCUUCUAUCUCUCUGUUCCUUCACAUCACCCUACUCUCAUCACCAUUCAUCAAAACCCUAAUUUCACUCUUCAGG